rnacentral:rRNA from 1 species
UGGGUAGCAAACAGGAUUAGAUACCCUGGUAGUCCACGCCCUAAACGGUGGGCAUUAGGUGUAGGGCUCGUAAGGGUUCUGUGCCGAAGGGAAACCAUUAAAUGCCCCGCCUGGGGAAUACGGCCGCAAGGUUAAACUCAAAGGAAUUGACGGGGGCCCGCACAAGCGGUGGAGCAUGUGGUUCAAUUCGACGCAACGCGAAGAACCUUACCUGGGCUUGACAUCCGCUGACAGUCCUGGAAACAGGAUCUUCCCCGCAAGGGGACAGCGUGACAGGUGCUGCAUGGCUGUCGUCAGCUCGUGUCGUGAGAUGUUGGGUUAAGUCCCGCAACGAGCGCAACCCUCAUCCUUAGUUGCCAUCAUUGAGUUGGGCACUCUAAGGAAACUGCCUCGGUGAACGGGGAGGAAGGUGGGGAUGACGUCAAGUCCUCAUGGCCUUUAUGUCCAGGGCUACACACGUGCUACAAUGGGCGGUACAAAGGGUUGCAAUACUGCGAGGGGGAGCUAAUCCCAAAAAACCGCUCUCAGUUCGGAUUGGAGUCUGCAACUCGACUCUAUGAAGGCGGAAUCGCUAGUAAUCGCGGAUCAGAAUGCCGCGGUGAUACGUUCCCGGGCCUUGUACACACCGCCCGUCACACCAUGAGAGCUGAUUGUACCAGAAGUCGCUGUGCUAA